rnacentral:rRNA from 1 species
AACGAACGCUGGCGGCAGGCCUAACACAUGCAAGUCGAACGCUCCAGCAAUGGAGAGUGGCAGACGGGUGAGUAACGCGUGGGAACCUACCCUACGGUUCAGAAUAGCCCAGGGAAACUUGGGGUAAUACCGGAUACGCCCUUACGGGGAAAGAUUUAUCGCCGUUGGAUGGGCCCGCGUCGGAUUAGCUAGUUGGUGAGGUAACGGCUCACCAAGGCGACGAUCCGUAGCUGGUCUGAGAGGANGAUCAGCCACACUGGGACUGAGACACGGCCCAGACUCCUACGGGAGGCAGCAGUGGGGAAUAUUGGACAAUGGGCGCAAGCCUGAUCCAGCCAUGCCGCGUGAGUGACGAAGGCCUUCGGUUGU